rnacentral:rRNA from 1 species
AGUGAACGCUGGCGGUAGGCCUAACACAUGCAAGUCGAACGGCAGCACAGUAAGAGCUUGCUCUUACGGGUGGCGAGUGGCGGACGGGUGAGGAAUACAUCGGAAUCUACUUUUUCGUGGGGGAUAACGUAGGGAAACUUACGCUAAUACCGCAUACGACCUACGGGUGAAAGCAGGGGAUCUUCGGACCUUGCGCGAUUGAAUGAGCCGAUGUCGGAUUAGCUAGUUGGCGGGGUAAAGGCCCACCAAGGCGACGAACCGUAGCUGGUCUGAGAGGAUGAUCGGCCACACUGGAACUGAGACACGGUCCAGACUCCUACGGGAGGCAGCAGUGGGGAAUAUUGGACAAUGGGCGCAAGCCUGAUCCAGCCAUACCGCGUGGGUGAAGAAGGCCUUCGGGUUGUAAAGCCCUUUUGUUGGGAAAGAAAAGCAGCAGGUUAAUACCCCGCUGUUCUGACGGUACCCAAAGAAUAAGCACCGGCUAACUUCGUG